rnacentral:rRNA from 1 species
AGUGAACGCUGGCGGUAGGCCUAACACAUGCAAGUCGAACGGCAGCACAGUAAGAGCUUGCUCUUACGGGUGGCGAGUGGCGGACGGGUGAGGAAUACAUCGGAAUCUACUUUUUCGUGGGGGAUAACGUAGGGAAACUUACGCUAAUACCGCAUACGACCUACGGGUGAAAGCAGGGGAUCUUCGGACCUUGCGCGAUUGAAUGAGCCGAUGCCGGAUUAGCUAGUUGGCGGGGUAAAGGCCCACCAAGGCGACGAUCCGUAGCUGGUCUGAGAGGAUGAUCAGCCACACUGGAACUGAGACACGGUCCAGACUCCUACGGGAGGCAGCAGUGGGGAAUAUUGGACAAAGGGCGCAAGCCUGAUCCAGCCAUACCGCGUGGGUGAAGAAGGCCUUCGGGUUGUAAAGCCCUUUUGUUGGGGAAGAAAAGCAGCAGGUUAAUACCCCGCUGUUCUGACGGUACCCAAAGAAUAAGCACCGGCUAACUUCGUG